CCGCACUGCAUAAGUGACUGGACGUCCUGUUUGGUGGUCUUCUAGUCUCAUUAUUGUGCCAGAUGAACCUCAGUUUGCAGAAGGGUUGAGCGAGACCACUGGCUCCCCCCUUUCGAAGGCUGAGAACAAAC
rnacentral:snoRNA from 1 species